rnacentral:rRNA from 1 species
AUAGGGAAAAGGAGUAAUCCGGUACAGGAUGGACCCGCGUCUAAUUAGCCAGUUGGCAGGGUAACGGCCUACCAAAGCGACGAUCAGUAGCCGAUCUGAGAGGAUGUACGGCCACAUUGCGACUGAGACACGGCCCAGACUCCUUCGGGAGGCAGCAGUGGGGAAUAUUGCACAAUGGAGGAAACUCUGAUGCAGCGACGCCGCGUGAGUGAAGAAGUAUUUCGGUAUGUAAAGCUCUAUCAGCAGGGAAGAAAAUGACGGUACCUGACUAAGAAGCACCGGCUAAAUACGUGCCAGCAGCCGCGGUAAUACGUAUGGUGCAAGCGUUAUCCGGAUUUACUGGGUGUAAAGGGAGCGUAGGUGGCAAGGCAAGCCAGAAGUGAAAACCCGGGGCUCAUCCGCGGGAUUGCUUUUGGAACUGUCAUGCUAGAGUGCAGGAGGGGUGAGCGGAAUUCUUAGUGUAGCGGUGAAAUGAGUAGAUAUUAGGAGGAACACCGGAGGCGAAGGCGGCUCUCUGGACUGUAACUGACACUGAGGCUCGAAAGCGUGGGGAGCAAACAAGAUUAGAUACCCUGGUAGUCCACGCGGUAAACGAUGAAUACUAGAUGUCGGGGUAGCAAAAGCUACUCGGUGUCGUCGCAAACGCAAAUAAGUAUUCCACCUGGGGAGUACGUUCGCAAGAAUGAAACUCAAAGGAAUUGACGGGGACCCGCACAAGCGGUGGAGCAUGUGGUUUAAUUCGAAGCAACGCGAAGAACCUUACCUGCUCUUGACAUCCCAUUCGAUAGAGGGUAAUGCCUCUAGCCCUUCGGGGGAAUGGAGACAGGUGGUGCAUGGUUGUCGUCAGCUCGUGUCGUGAGAUGUUGGGUUAAGUCCCGCAACGAGCGCAACCCUUACUGUCAGUAGCCAGCAGGUGAAGCUGGGCACUCUGAUGAGACUGCCGGGGAUAACCCGGAGGAAGGUGGGGAUGACGUCAAAUCAUCAUGCCCCUUAUGAGCAGGGCUACACACGUGCUACAAUGGCGUAAACAGAGGGAAGCGAAGGAGUGAUCUGGAGCAAAUCUCAAAAAUAACGUCUCAGUUCGGAUUGUAGUCUGCAACUCGACUACAUGAAGCUGGAAUCGCUAGUAAUCGCAGAUCAGAAUGCUGCGGUGAAUACGUUCCCGGGUCUUGCACU